UAUGUAGGGUUCAUAAUGAAAGAGCCUAGCAGCGGAAACGACACAAAUGUCCAACACAAAAACAAUAUGGAAGCACUCACAACACAAUAUGGCAGCAACUAUAACAAGCAAAUAUAGCAAGUAAAGCAAUAAUAAGAACACACCGAGAUUUUAACGUGGAAAACCCCCUCAAGGUAAGAGGUAAAA